UACGUAGGGUGCAAGCGUUUGUCCGGAAUUAUUGGGCGUAAAGAGCUCGUAGGCGGUUUGUUGCGUCGGCUGUGAAAUCCCGUGGCUCAACUGCGGGUCUGCAGCCGAUACGGGCAGGCUAGAGUUCGGUAGGGGAGACUGGAAUUCCUGGUGUAGCGGUGAAAUGCGCAGAUAUCAGGAGGAACACCGGUGGCGAAGGCGGGUCUCUGGGCCGAUACUGACGCUGAGGAGCGAAAGCGUGGGGAGCGAACAGG
rnacentral:rRNA from 1 species